UACGUUGGUGGCAAGCGUUGUCCGGAUUUAUUGGGUUUAAAGGGUGCGUAGGCGGGUUUUUAAGUCAGUUGUGAAAUCUUGGAGCUUAACUCCGAAACUGCCAUUGAUACUAUGUAUCUUGAAUAUCGUUGAGGUUUGCGGAAUAUGUCAUGUAGCGGUGAAAUGCUUAGAUAUGACAUAGAACACCAAUUGCGAAGGCAGCAGGCUAAACGAACAUUGACGCUGAGGCACGAAAGCGUGGGGAUCAAACAGG
rnacentral:rRNA from 1 species